GAUGAACGCUGGCGGCGUGCCUAAUACAUGCAAGUCGAGCGAACAGACGAGGGGCUUGCUCCUCUGACGUUAGCGGCGGACGGGUGAGUAACACGUGGAUAACCUACCUAUAAGACUGGGAUAACUUCGGGAAACCGGAGCUAAUACCGGAUAAUAUAUUGAACCGCAUGGUUCAAUAGUGUAAGACGGUUUUGCUGUCACUUAUAGAUGGAUCCGCGCCGCAUUAGCUAGUUGGUAAGGUAACGGCUUACCAAGGCAACGAUGCGUAGCCGACCUGAGAGGGUGAUCGGCCACACUGGAACUGAGACACGGUCCAGACUCCUACGGGAGGCAGCAGUAGGGAAUCUUCCGCAAAGGGCGAAAGCCUGACGGAGCAACGCCGCGUGAGUGAUGAAGGUCUUCGGAUCGUAAAACUCUGUUAUUAGGGAAGAACAAAUGUGUAAGUAACUAUGCACGUCUUGACGGUACCUAAUCAGAAAGCCACGGCUAACUACGUG
rnacentral:rRNA from 1 species